CGUGCCUGUCCACACUCCAUCCACUGCUUAAAAGCACAUGUUCCAUUUAUUUCCUCUGGAUCCUGGAGAAAAUAUCUGCAAUUUUAAUGACUACUCAGACCCGAAAAGGCUUUGUACUGUAGACGUCAAACUUAUGCAUUACGAUUCACAUUCGUACAUAGAGGUGACGACACAGGAAAAUAAGUGCAGCCAUCAAUAAUCCUGACGUGCUCUGCACCCAGUCGGGCAAAAUGGAUACUGAGAGGAAAGAAAAAACUGAAAGAGUCUGGCUUUCGUUGAACACCGUAUUGGAAGUGACGCAGGUCAAGAAGUACUGGAAGAAAAGUGCACACUGCAAUGCGCCAACUUUGAUGAUGUAGGAGUUGGAGACCCUCUUACAACCUACCGCUGCCCCCCCUCUCCUUCUUUCAUGUUCAGUGCCAGCUUGAAAUACCACCUCUUAUAAACCAUCCAAUUUGCAAGAUGUCUCCGUCUCUUUUCUCCUGUUUUUCAAAACAACUUGUCAACCAGCAGCCGAGUCUCCAGCACCCGUGUCCUCGCGACUAUUCAAAGCGUGGUACUCUACAGAGAAGACUCUCAUUCAGAUCCUUCCUCUGAGAACUGGCAGCUGUGCUCAGCUUUGUGAUCUUCUGCUUCACUGCAACCGCAGUGGAAAUCUCAGGGUCGAGCUCAAUCCUCCAUGUAAUCCUCUACUGACCAGUAGUCCAAUAGACCA